rnacentral:rRNA from 1 species
GACGAACCGUGCGAACGUUGUUCGGAAUCACUGGGCUUAAAGGGCGCGUAGGCGGACCUCCAAGUCCGGGGUGAAAUCUUUCGGCUUAACCGGAAAAGUGCCUUGGAUACUGGGGGUCUCGAGGGAGGCAGGGGCGGAUGGAACUUCCGGUGGAGCGGUGAAAUGCGUUGAUAUCGGAAGGAACGCCGGUGGCGAAAGCGAUCCGCUGGACCUCUUCUGACGCUGAGGCGCGAAAGCCAGGGGAGCAAACGGGG